UAACUUCCCAGAAAUAGAUCCGACAGUGCAUAUCAGAGCAAAUGUAAAAAUUUUGAUUGUUUUUAAAACGUGUUAAAUUAUUUGGAGUAAUUUUUCAAAACUAUUCAUGACAUAAACUGUUUGGUGGCAAAACUAACAAAAUGUAUUGAAAGUGAAAUGGGACAGUGCAUAAUUGGUAACAGCAGCGUUUACUCUAGCUGAAUGAUGGCAAUCCAGAAUCAGGAAUAAACUGUUAUUAAUUUGAAUUUAUUAUUUGGUAUGCAACCAGGAAGAAGAUGCUUCAAAGAAUCAAGAAUAAACUAUUAAAAAUGGUUUUCCUCCCUGGUUCAGCACGAAUAUAAAAAAGAGUUCAAUGCCGAAUUAAACCGUUUGUCAUUAAGUGUAUAAAAGUAUUGCGUGAGAUGUGCAUCACUCCUUCCGGAAGAACCACAAAAAAAAAUUAAAAAACCUAAGCAGAUGCCACGUUGGCCUCAGUGGCAGCUGCAAAAACUUGCACAGCAAACCUAUCCCCAAUACCCACAUCCUUCCAACAUCCAUUACCAUUAUCCUCCUGGAAGAGAAUACCAACAUCCCUCAUAAUAUCCCCAAUACCCACCACCACAUUCCCAACGCAGUUUCCAACAUCCAUAUCCAUGUCCGCAUAAUCCCAACAAACAUUUUUGCUGAUUUACAGCUUAAUAAGCUACUAUUCAGUGGAAUUCGGCUGAACUAUAGCUUAACAAGCCGUUAUCCAACAAAAUUGUUUGUUGGGAAUGAAUUACAGGUAAGCGAAAAUCAGUAUCCACAUUCUCAGGAGAUAUCUUAUGAGACGGCCCCCGGAUCGGCUGACUGGCCACCCUUCGCGCCGGGAACGCGACCACCCGUCACGCCGGCUAGGCGACCAUCCAUCGCGCCGGCUAUGACACCACCCAUUGCACCGGCCAAUGCGCCGCCCGUCGCACCGGUCUACGCACCGACUAACGUGCCGGUCUACGCACCGGUCAAAGCGCCGCCUGUUGCACCGGUCUACACGCCGGCCAAUGCGCCUGCUAACGCACCGGUCUGCGCUCUGACAAACCAAUCGCCCAUUGCGCCGGCCUGCGCACCACCCGUUGCAAUGGUCCACGCGCCGGAUAAUACGCCACCCAUUGCGUCGGCCAACACGCCGCCCAUCUCGCCGCCUCAGGUGCCGACAAACAAUAAAAUUUCAAAAUCCUUAAAACCCAGAUGCCAAACCACGAACUGAGAGAAGAGUUGACCCAAGAGGCCAAACAAGCUUUUGUUUUUCAAUAAAUAAAUAUAAAAUAUAAAAUAAUAAAUCAAUCCUAUUAAUUUACGUAUAAUAAAAUAUGACU